rnacentral:rRNA from 1 species
GACGAACGCUGCGGCGUGCUUAACACAUGCAAGUCGAACGAAAAGAGGGAAAGAGCUUGCUCUUUCCGGAAUUGAGUGGCAAACGGGUGAGUAACACGUAAACAACCUGCCUUCAGGAUGGGGACAACAGACGGAAACGACUGCUAAUACCGAAUAAGUUCCAAGAGCCGCAUGGCCCAUGGAAGAAAAGGUGGCCUCUACCUGUAAGCUAUCGCCUGAAGAGGGGUUUGCGUCUGAUUAGCUGGUUGGAGGGGUAACGGCCCACCAAGGCGACGAUCAGUAGCCGGUCUGAGAGGAUGAACGGCCACACUGGAACUGAGACACGGUCCAGACUCCUACGGGAGGCAGCAGUGGGGAAUCUUCCGCAAUGGGCGAAAGCCUGACGGAGCAACGCCGCGUGAGUGAUGACGGCCUUCGGGUUGUAAAACUCUGUGAUCCGGGACGAAAAGGCAGAGUGCGAAGAACAAACUGCAUUGACGGUACCGGAAAAGCAAGCCACGGCUGG